GAUGAACGCUGGCGGCGUGCCUAAUACAUGCAAGUCGAGCGAACAGACUAGGCGCUUGCUCCUCUGACGUUAGCGGCGGACGGGUGAGUAACACGUGGAUAACCUACCUAUAAGACUGGGAUAACUUCCGGAAACCGGCGCUAAUACCGCAUAAUAUAUUGAACCGCAUGGUUCAAUAGUGAAAGCCCGUUUUGCUGUCCCUUAUAGAUGGAUCCGCGCCGCAUUAGCUAGUUGGUAAGUUAACGGCUUACCAAGGCAACGAUGCGUAGCCGACCGGAGAGGGGGAUCGGCCACCCGGGAACGGAGACAACCCCCAGACUCCUAAGGGAGGGAACAGUAGGGAACCUGCCGCCAAGGGCGAAAGCUUGCAGGAGGAACGCCCCGAGCGGGAUGAAGGUCUUCGGAUCGUAAAACUCUGUUAGUAGGGAAGAACAAAUGUGUAAGUAAAUAUGCACGUGUUGACGGUACCUUAUCAGAAAGCCACGGCUAACUUCGUC
rnacentral:rRNA from 1 species